rnacentral:rRNA from 1 species
UACAGAGGGUGCGAGCGUUAAUCGGAAUUACUGGGCGUAAAGCGUGCGUAGACGGUUAUUUAAGUCGGAUGUGAAAGCCCCGGGCUCAACCUGGGAAUUGCAUUCGAGACUGAAUAGCUAGGGUGCGGUAGAGGGAAGCGGAAUUUCCGGUGUAGCGGUGAAAUGCGUAGAUAUCGUAAGGAAGACCAGUGGCGAAGGCGGGUCUCUGGACAGUUCCUGACGCUGAGGCACGAAGGCCAGGGGAGCAAACGGG